AGAGUUUGAUUAUGGCUCAGAAUGAACGCUGGCGGCAUGGCUAAAACAUGCAAGUCGAACGAACCCGCAAGGAGUGGCGUAAGGCGAGGAAUACGAUCGAACGUGCCCCGAGGUGGGGGAUAGCUUAUGGAAACGUAAGGUAAUACCCCAUAAUCACCUCGGGGCAAAGGCUUGCUGCCUUGGGAGCGGCGAUCGUCCUAUCAGGUAGUUGGUGAGGUAAAGGCUCACCAAGCCGAAGACGGGUAGCGGGUGUGAGAGCAUGACCCGCCGCAUCGGGACUGAGACACUGCCCGGACUCCUACGGGAGGCUGCAGUAACGAAUCUUCCGCAAUGGGCGAAAGCCUGACGGAGCAAUGCCGCGUGUGGGAUGAAGCAUCUUCGAUGUGUAAACCACUGUCAGGGACUAGCAACAUGAGCAGUCCCAAAGGAAGGGCCGGCUAAUUCUGUGCCAGCAGCCGCGGUAAUACAGAAGGCCCGAGCGUUAAUCAGAAUUACUAGGCUUAAAGCGUACGCAGGCGGAUUUGUAGGUAUUUUGUGAAAUCCCACGACUCAACCGUGGAACUGCAGAGUAAACCACAAAUCUUGAGACAAGUAGGGGUCAGUGGAACUAUGAGUGGAGCGGUGAAAUGCGUAGAUAUUCAUGGGAACGCCGAUGGGGAAGCCGAUCAGCUGGGCCUGUCCUGACGCUCAGGCACGAAAGCGUGGGGAGCAAACAGGAUUAGAUACCCUGGUAGUCCACGCCGUAAACGAUGCACACUAGAUCGGGGCGGUUCUGACACCGUCCCGGUCGAAGGAAAACUGUUAAGUGUGCCGCCUGGGGAGUACGGUCGCAAGGCUAAAACUCAAAGGAAUUGACGGGGGCUCACACAAGCGGUGGAGCAUGUUGCUUAAUUCGAGGCAACGCGAAGAACCUUACCUAGACUUGACAUGUAUGGAUUAACUCCUGGAAACAGGAGCGACGCGCCCUUGGGUGGAACGUGCACAGGUGCUGCAUGGCUGUCGUCAGCUCGUGCUGUGAAGUGUCGGGUUAAGUCCCUUAACGAGCGCAACCCCUAUCGCUAGUUACUAACACGUAAUGGUGAGGACUCUAGCGAGACUGCCGUGUCAAACCGGAGGAAGGUGGGGACGACGUCAAGUCAUCAUGGCCCUUAUGUCUUGGGCUGCAAACGUGCUACAAUGGCGCGUACAAAGCGAAGCGAUGUCGCAAGGCGGAGCAAAUCGCAAAAAGCGCGCCUCAGUUCGGAUUGCAGGCUGCAACUCGCCUGCAUGAAGUCGGAAUCGCUAGUAAUCGGAGAUCAGCUACGCUCCGGUGAAUGUGUCCCUGAGCCUUGUACACACCGCCCGUCACGUCAUGGAAGCCGGGAGCGCCCGAAGUCGCCCCAUCUCAGGGGUGCCUACGGCGAGAUCGGUGACUGGGACGAAGUCGUAACAAGGUAGCCGUAGGAGAACCUGCGGCUGGAUCACCUCCUUU
rnacentral:rRNA from 1 species